rnacentral:rRNA from 1 species
CGGUGUUUAACUGGCGUGAUGUGGGACGUCCUACCGGUGGGCUUAGCCUCGCGAGGGGCGGCCCAACUAAUAUCCCGUCGCGGUGCUCUUUACUGAGUGUCGAGUCGGGCCGGUACGUUUACUUUGAACAAAUUAGAGUGCUUAAAGCAGGCUAUCCUCGCCUGAAUACUGCGUGCAUGGAAUAAUGGAAUAGGACCUCGGUUCUAUUUUGUUGGUUUUCGGAACCCCGAGGUAAUGAUUAAUAGGGACAGAUGGGGGCAUUCGUAUUGCGACGUUAGAGGUGAAAUUCUUGGAUCGUCGCAAGACGGACAGAAGCGAAAGCAUUUGCCAAAAAUGUUUUCAUUAAUCAAGAACGAAAGUUUAGAGGUUCGAAGGCGAUCAGAUACCGCCCUAGUUCUAACCAUAAACGAUGCCAGCUAGCGAUCCGCCGAAGUUCCUCCGAUGACUCGGCGGGCAGCUUCCGGGAAACCAAAGCUUUUGGGUUCCGGGGGAAGUAUGGUUGCAAAGCUGAAACUUAAAGGAAUUGACGGAAGGGCACCACCAGGAGUGGAGCCUGCGGCUUAAUUUGACUCAACACGGGAAACCUCACCAGGCCCAGACACCGGAAGGAUUGACAGAUUGAUAGCUCUUUCUUGAUUCGGUGGGUGGUGGUGCAUGGCCGUUCUUAGUUGGUGGAGCGAUUUGUCUGGUUAAUUCCGAUAACGAACGAGACUCUAGCCUGCUAAAUAGGCGUACCUUAUGGUAUCGCGAAGGCCCCCGGCUUCGGCCGGUGGGUUUUUACUACCAACGUACAAACAAAUCUUCUUAGAGGGACAGGCGG